GACGAACGCUGGCGGCGUGCCUAACACAUGCAAGGUCGAACGGAGUUAAGACUUCGGUUUUAACUUAGUGGCGAACGGGUGAGUAACGCGUGAGAAACCUGCCUUUCAGUGGGGGACAACAGUUGGAAACGACUGCUAAUACCGCAUAAUGUCAUUUAAGGGCAUCCUUGAAUGACCAAAGAUUUAUUGCUGAAAGAUGGUCUCGCGUCUGAUUAGCUAGUUGGUGAGGUAACGGCUCACCAAGGCGACGAUCAGUAGCCGGUCUGAGAGGAUGAACGGCCACAUUGGGACUGAGAUACGGCCCAGACUCCUACGGGAGGCAGCAGUGGGGAAUAUUGGGCAAUGGGGGAAACCCUGACCCAGCAACGCCGCGUGAAGGAAGAAGGCCUUCGGGUUGUAAACUUCUUUUACCAGGGACGAAUAAAUGACGGUACCUGGAGAAAAAGCAACGGCUAACUACGUG
rnacentral:rRNA from 1 species